AAAAAAAAUGUUUACAUCUAUUUUUUUAUUUUUAAAUGAUUACUUUAUUAUGUAUAUCUUUUUAUUUUAAGGCUCGAGUAUGGCAGAGAGACUACAGAGAUUGAAGAGUAAUGCAACCUGAUGCGGCAUGUUAUACAGAGAUGACACCACCACUGAGUAUGCCUGACAACCCCAUAAAUGCAGUUACGACAAAAUUUGCGCAUACAUCAACUAACAAAUUGAGAUGUCCUAUAUUUUGUGUGGCAUGGACACCUGAAGGUAGAAGAUUGGUGCAUCUAGCGGUGAAUUUACUUUAUGAAAUGGAUUAACUUUUAAUUUUGAAGCUAUUUUACAGUGCCUUUGAUGACCACUUAUAUUAAUUGAGGUUCUCAUUAAUUGAAGAAUUGAAACAAUUCCAAACAUUUAAUCAUUCAGUACUUAGGAACAGUUAAUUUAGGUAACUUUAUGCGUUCCUGUUCAACGGUUUGAAUGUCACUCUGAUUGCGACUAUUUAGAGAAAUAUUAGCUUCCUGAAAGGAAUUAUUUGAAUCAAGUUCUUUGUUUAAAUUCUUAAUGAUGUUCUAAAUUUUGUUCUAGUUAUUUUUUUCUUUGUACUCUUCUAUACAUUUAAAUUCUCUUCAGUGUCAUCGAUUUUGAUUAAGCCCUCAAUCUGAAUAAUUCUUGAAGAUCUUCCACACUUAUGACCGGUUUUAGAAUGUCACUUUCGAUUUUUGCAAUUAUCUUUGUCACCGAAGCUCUAGCGAUGAUUUGUCUACUACUGAGAAUAUUUUACAUCUGCACUGUGGGCAGUGCGAGCCUGGUGUGUAAUUCGUAAUCAUCAGCUACCCCUGGGAUUCGAACUCGAUCCACCUCAUGAAGAUUCGAGCAUUCUAUCUCCUGAGCCUCCGUGGCUGUUUAAAAUAAUUUUAUUUUUUUAAAAAUUAUACCUUUUAUUUAUUUUUCUUUAUAACUUUUAAUGGUCUUAUAUCAGGUGGGCAUGAUUCAGAUAAUCUAAUAUCCAUAUUCAUUGAUGAAUGAUUUUGUGAGAGAAAAUAAUAAAUGUUUCUAAUGUGUUAAUAUGUCAACUAUACUGAAGAUUUGUUUUCAUUUCUGAAUUGUUUCGAACUAAUUUUAUUUCAGUUGAUAACUUCUCACUGCUUAAACUUAUAAUUUAAAUUUAAGCAGUACUGUGCUUUUCUUCGAAAUUAAACCGUAAUAUAUUAUUCAAUUUUUAAAGUGUUUCAAAUAAUUUAACAGUCCAGACAACUUAAAUUUGUGUAAUUAAGAUUACUGCUAUAGUUGAUAUUAUUAUGGAACUCAAUAUUAUAAAUUUAAUACAAUAUACUGUUUAAUGUUUUAAUAAAAUUGAUAUUAUUAUACCAUUUUAUAUUACCCCCGUUAUAAAUCAAUGUUCUUAAAUUUCUCCUGUUGUCCAAAUAUAGUUGAUUCUUGUUGUUGUCGGCCAUUGAGACAGAGCUGGUGCAAUUGUUCUUGUUUUCCAUCUUUAGCCAAUAAUUCUGCCACAUCCGCUUAUAGGGCGAACCCAUUCAUUUGUUUACAGAAUUUUGACCUGAACCACAGAAUCUCUAAUUCAGUACCCCAGAGGUAUUGAUUUGUUAUGGAGAACUUUGUAACCUGACAGGUUUAACAUGCACCAGUCACCAUUUACUACUCUGGCUGGUUGGACUCACAAAUGUGAGGUCCCUGCCAUCCAGGCUAUACCAGCCUAGUUGAUUUUUAAACUCGAUUUAUAAAAAUUGGUUUGUGUAAACAAUAGUAAACUAAAUUCAGUUUCCUUAAAAAUUUAAAUGUUUUAUUCUGAAAACCUUAGUUAUUUAUAGAGUUAUAAAAAUUUGUACUUUAUAUUUGCAAUUUACACCACAGUCAUAAAAUAUUUCAUUUCCAUAUAGUUAAGGUAAAACAGUAGAUUAAACAUGUGGGAGCCGUUUUUUGUAAUUAUAGUAUCAAAGUUAUUUUCAUUGUUUAUUUUCUUGUUUCUAAUUAUUGUAUGU